rnacentral:rRNA from 1 species
UUUUAGUGUUAUAAAAUUGACUAUAAUUAUUAUAAGUUAUGAUCUUUAAAAUUAAAAAAUUUGGCGGUAUUUUAGUCUAUUCAGAGGAACCUGUUUUUUGAUUGAUAGUCCACGAUAAUUUUUACUUUAACUUUAAAUUUAUAUAUCGUCGUUAAUAAAAAUUUUUGGAAAAUUAUAAUUUUUAGGAUUUUUUAUUAGAAUUUAAUUCAGAUCAAGGUGUAGUUUAUGUUAAAGUUAAAAUGGGUUACAUUAUAUUUAUAUGUAGUAUUUUGAUUUAAAAUUAAAAUUAAAAUGGAUUUGAUAGUAAAUUCUUUAUUUUUUAGAAUUGAUUUAGCUCUAAAAUAUGU